CGCCACCUGCAAAACAUUUAUGUUUGGUUUAUCGUCACGAAUCAACAUAGAGUUUCAGUACAGUAACAGUAGACUUGGACAAGAUAGAGGCUUUGACGGAUUUCAGAUCGCUGCUAUUGUGUUCAAAAUGGUAUUGUGCAAGACCUAUAAUUCUGGAGAAGUUUGCAGUGUGUGUCAUAAUCCUGCUGGAGUAAAAGACAUUAAGAUUAAUUGAAAACUUAGCUAUACGGCAAGCUGGACUCCCUACACAACCCAUCAGAUGUCUCGGAAACCUACCCAUAUUCAAAAGCUGAUUACAAAAGAACCACUGA